ACUAGGCAUAGAUAUUCAGCCGUUUGUGAAAAAACGCGAAUUGAACUUUCACAUAUAUACGUAUUUCUUUGGCUGUAGUAGUCUAGUGUAGUAGUCUACAAUAGCGGCGCUGUGUGUGUCUCUGUGUCACCGAUACCUAUAUCUUAUCUUGACAGGGCUAACAAGAAGAGAAAUACUUAGUUACUUAAUAUUCUGGACGUUGGUUUGAACAAGACAUCGCAUACGAGAUACAAAUCUCAAAGAAAAUAUGUACUAUGAAACAUCGAUGACCCUGACCUUGCGACGUUGAGGAAGACCUUUCGAUAACUAUUUUCCUAUUAUAUACAACAGUACUGUAUUAUAACGAACUCUUUUUAUAACAUCUCAAUACUGUACGAUACACGUUUUUUGUUUAUAAUUAUCUGCUUCAAUUUUCCUCUUUUAUAUUCUUUCCAGUAGAAUACUAAUUAUUUUCAGCACGUUUAUUCAGAUGUAAACUAUGGAUUACAUAUUUUUAUUAUUGACAAGUUUAAAAGAUAUCAUAAAUGUUACAAACGUAAGCAUUUUUUCUGAAGCGUUUACUCAUUCAUUUAUUGUAAUUAAUGUUUUUAUUACUAUUAAAAAAACUAGAGACAACA
rnacentral:lncRNA from 1 species